AAUCAACACUCCACUCAGACAAUGCCCAGACCUCCAGAAACCAUGUGUCAAGCUCGGAUUGCCUUAGACAGCUCACCCAGCUGGAACUCUUAUGGGACCUUGGCACCAGAGACCACAAAUUCCUCUUUGAAGUUUUCUAACAGCAACAAUGGUAUUUCUGACUUGGCUUUCUUGUAUUUCUCUCACGUUAACAAAAUUGGUUCAGCAUCUACCAUGGGCUACAUGCUGAGCUACAGAGUUUCGCUCUGUCGCCCAGGCUGGAGUGCAGUGGCGCGCGAUCUCGGUUCACUGCAAGCUCCACCUCCCGGGUUCACGCCAUUCUCCUGCCUCAGCCUCCUGAGUAGCUGGGACUACAGGCGCCCGCCACCACACCCAGGAAUCCAACUUGCUGUUUGCUAUCACAUGUGCUAUACAUGCUGUUGAUGAAACUGCUAAAGGGGCUGAAUGUGACUGACGUCUUUGGAAGGAUGAGACUUAGCGUGCCUGUACAGUUGUGUCCAAAUGCUGUCCUCAUCUCCCAAUGAAAAGGUAUUGUAAAUAAAGAGAAAG
ensembl:lncRNA LUCAT1 lung cancer associated transcript 1